rnacentral:rRNA from 1 species
CCUUACCUACCCUUGACAUGUCUGGAAUGCCGAAGAGAUUUGGCAGUGCUCGCAAGAGAACCGGAACACAGGUGCUGCAUGGCUGUCGUCAGCUCGUGUCGUGAGAUGUUGGGUUAAGUCCCGCAACGAGCGCAACCCUUGUCAUUAGUUGCUACGCAAGAGCACUCUAAUGAGACUGCCGGUGACAAACCGGAGGAAGGUGGGGAUGACGUCAAGUCCUCAUGGCCCUUAUGGGUAGGGCUUCACACGUCAUACAAUGGUCGGGACAGAGGGUCGCCAACCCGCGAGGGGGAGCCAAUCUCAGAAACCCGAUCGUAGUCCGGAUCGCAGUCUGCAACUCGACUGCGUGAAGUCGGAAUCGCUAGUAAUCGCGGAUCAGAAUGUCGCGGUGAAUACGUUCCCGGGUCUUGUACACACCGCCCGUCACACCAUGGGAGUGGGUUUCACCAGAAGUAGGUAGCCUAACCGCAAGGAGGGCGCUUACCACGGUGGGAUUCAUGACUGGGGUGAAGUCGUAACAAGGUAACCG